rnacentral:rRNA from 1 species
AACGAACGCUGGCGGCAGGCCUAACACAUGCAAGUCGAACGCUCCGCAAGGGGAGUGGCGCACGGGUGAGUAACGCGUGGGAAUAUGCCCUUCGGUUCGGAAUAACACAGGGAAACUUGUGCUAAUACCGGAUACGAUCUACGGAUGAAAGAUUUAUCGCCGAGGGAGUAGCCCGCGUAGGAUUAGCUAGUUGGUGAGGUAAUGGCUCACCAAGGCGACGAUCCUUAGCUGGUCUGAGAGGAUGAUCAGCCACACUGGGACUGAGACACGGCCCAGACUCCUACGGGAGGCAGCAGUGGGGAAUAUUGGACAAUGGGCGAAAGCCUGAUCCAGCCAUGCCGCGUGAGUGAUGAAGGCCUUAGGGUUGUAAAGCUCUUUCGCCAGGGAAGAUAAUGACGGUACCUGGAAAAGAAGCCUCGGCUAACUCCGUGCCAGCAGCCGCCGUAA